AUUGAACGCUGGCGGCAGGCCUAACACAUGCAAGUCGAGCGGUAGAGAGGUGCUUGCAUCUCUUGAGAGCGGCGGACGGGUGAGUAAUGCCUAGGAAUCUGCCUAGUGGUGGGGGAUAACGUUCGGAAACGGACGCUAAUACCGCAUACGUCCUACGGGAGAAAGCGGGGGAUCUUCGGACCUCGCGCCAUUAGAUGAGCCUAGGUCGGAUUAGCUAGUUGGUGAGGUAAUGGCUCACCAAGGCGACGAUCCGUAACUGGUCUGAGAGGAUGAUCAGUCACACUGGAACUGAGACACGGUCCAGACUCCUACGGGAGGCAGCAGUGGGGAAUAUGGACAAUGGCGAAAGCCUGAUCCAGCCAUGCCGCGUGUGUGAAGAAGGUCUUCGGAUU
rnacentral:rRNA from 1 species